rnacentral:ncRNA from 1 species
AUCUUCGGGGCAGGGUGAAAUUCCCGACCGGUGGUAUAGCCCACGAACCGCAAGGUUGAUUCGGUUAAAUUCCGAAGCCGACAGUAAAGUCUGAUAGUAGAAGAU